UACGUAGGGUGCGAGCGUUAAUCGGAAUUACUGGGCGUAAAGCGUGCGCAGGCGGUUUCCAAGACAGAUGUGAAAUCCCCGGGCUCAACCUGGGAAUGGCAUUUGUGACUGGAAGGCUAGAGUGUGUCAGAGGGGGUAGAAUUCCACGUGUAGCAGUGAAAUGCGUAGAGAUGUGGAGGAAUACCGAUGGCGAAGGCAGCCCCCUGGGAUAACACUGACGCUCAUGCACGAAGCGUGGGAGCAAACAGG
rnacentral:rRNA from 1 species